rnacentral:rRNA from 1 species
AUUGAACGCUGGCGGCAGGCCUAACACAUGCAAGUCGAACGAGUGGCGGACGGGUGAGUACUGUCUGGGAACCUGCCUGAUGGAGGGGGAUAACUCCUGGAAACGGUAGCUACUACCGCCUACCAUUGGAUGUUCCCAGAUGGGAUUAGCUUUUUGGUGGGGUAACGGCUCACCAAGGCGACGAUCCCUAGCUGGUCUGAUAGGAUGACCAGCAAAACUGGAACUGAGACACGUUCCAGACUCCUACGGGAGGCAGCAGUGGGGAAUAUUGCACAAUGGGCGCAAGCCGGAUGCAGCAAUGCCGCGUGUAUGAAGAAGGCCUUCGGGUUGUAAAGUACUUUCAGCGGGGAGGCGUUACCCGCAGAAGAAGCACCGGCUAACUCCGUGCCAGCAGCCGCGGUAAUUC